AUGAUCGACGGAGGCACUCGGGUCCGUGAAGCAGAGGAAGCAAACGAAGAUGACAUCGAGGAACUUGGUGGCUCCGGCCUUGGAUCGCAGCGGGAACGGGGUUGUGGAGGCGUCGUGGUGCGCGUAGAGGAAGAAGGGGCUGGCGUUGGAGCUCCUACGCCGGAGCAGAGCUCCGGCUCCUCGUCCAUGGCGAUAGGGAGCGAGGCAACAGAGUGCUUGGGUGCCCCUUACCUGCGUGGCGGUGGCGGAGAAAGAGGGGGAGGGGAAGACUAG
rnacentral:rRNA from 1 species